UACCAUUGGGGGAUGAUACCGGAG
rnacentral:piRNA from 1 species